GGGCAUGUAGCUCAGCUGGUAGAGUGCUUGCCUCAAAUGCACAAGGCCCUGGAUUCAAUCCCCAGCACCA
rnacentral:tRNA from 1 species